UACGUAGGGGGCUAGCGUUGUCCGGAAUCAUUGGGCGUAAAGCGCGUGUAGGCGGUUCGGUAAGUCCGCUGUGAAAGUCGGGGGCUCAACCCUCGGAUGCCGGUGGAUACUGUCGAGCUCGAGUCCGGGAGAGGCGAGUGGAAUUCCUGGUGUAGCGGUGAAAUGCGCAGAUAUCAGGAGGAACACCAAUGGCGAAGGCAGCUCGCUGGGACGUUACUGACGCUGAGACGCGAAAGCGUGGGGAGCAAACAGG
rnacentral:rRNA from 1 species